rnacentral:miRNA from 1 species
AGACUGGUUACUGAUAACAAUGCAUCGUAAAACCUUCAGAAGGGAAGAAUGUUUUGUGGACCAUUUGGGUUUUUUUGUGCGUGUGUAGCAGUUUUAAGUUAUUAGUUUUUAAAGUCAGU